UAUUGGUCAAUGGAGGGAACUCUGAACCAGCCAUGCCGCGUGAAGGAUGACGGCCCUCUGGGUUGUAAACUUCUUUUGGAUGGGGCGAAAAAACGGGAUUUAUCCUGGACUGACGGUACCAUAAGAAUAAGCACCGGCUAACUCCGUGCCAGCAGCCGCGGUAAUACGGAGGGUGCGAGCGUUAUCCGGAAUCACUGGGUUUAAAGGGUGCGUAGGCGGUUGUAUAAGUCAGGGGUGAAAGCACGCAGCUUAACUGUGUAAUUGCCUUUGAUACUGUAUAACUUGAAUAGGGUUGAGGUUGGCGGAAUGUGACAUGUAGCGGUGAAAUGCAUAGAUAUGUCAUAGAACACCGAUUGCGAAGGCAGCUGACUGGGCCUUUAUUGAUGCUGAGGCACGAAAGCGUGGGGAGCGAACAGG
rnacentral:rRNA from 1 species